rnacentral:tRNA from 1 species
GCUCUUGAAGGAUAAUAGCCAUCCAUUGGUCUUAGGAACCAAAAACUCUUGGUGCAAGUCCAAGCAAGAGCU